rnacentral:rRNA from 1 species
UACGGAGGGUGCGAGCGUUGUCCGGAAUCACUGGGCGUAAAGGGCGCGUAGGCGGCGCGGGAAGUCCGUGGUGAAAGCCCGAGGCUCAACUUCGGGUCGGCCAUGGAUACUCCUGGGCUCGAGCACUGUAGAGGCAGGUGGAAUUCCGGGUGUAGCGGUGAAAUGCGCAGAUAUCAGGAGGAACACCGAUGGCGAAGGCAGCUCGCUGGGACGGUACUGACGCUGAGGCGCGAAAGCGUGGGGAGCAAACAGG